UACGGAGGAUCCGAGCGUUAUCCGGAUUUACUGGGUGUAAAGGGAGCGUAGGUGGCAAGGCAAGUCAGAUGUGAAAACCCGGGGCCCAACCCCGGGAGUGCAUUUGAAACUGUCUGGCUAGAGUGCAGGAGAGGUAAGCGGAAUUCCUAGUGUAGCGGUGAAAUGCGUAGAUAUAUGGAAGAACACCAGUGGCGAAGGCGGCUCUCUGGUCUGUAACUGACGCUGAGGCUCGAAAGCAUGGGUAGCGAACAGG
rnacentral:rRNA from 1 species